rnacentral:rRNA from 1 species
GACAGAGGGUGCAAACGUUGUUCGGAAUUACUGGGCGUAAAGCGCGUGUAGGCGGCUCGGCAAGUCGGGUGUGAAAGCCCUGGGCUUAACCUAGGAAGUGCACUCGAAACUGCCAAGCUUGAAUUCUGGAGAGGAAGGCGGAAUUCUCGGUGUAGAGGUGAAAUUCGUAGAUAUCGAGAGGAACACCGGUGGCGAAGGCGGCCUUCUGGACAGCAACUGACGCUGAGACGCGAAAGCGUGGGGAGCAAACAGG